rnacentral:rRNA from 1 species
AUGCAGAAAGAUGAUCUUUGGACUGAGUUGAAGGCAAAUUUCACCCUACCGCCAGAGGAGGAUCCGGAGAAGCCAGUUAUAGAGCAAUUAAUCAAGUCUCAUGCUCUUAAGAAGAUGGCCGACCUAUUCAGGAGGUGGAAGAAUGAGCUGAAAACGUUUGUCGACAAAGAAGAGACACCAGAAUUCAUCGGCUGGUAUGAGAAGAUCAGAGAUCACUGGCCCGCAUUUGUGGCCCACAAGACAUCGGAAAAGAGUAAGAAGAUGUCAGCGACAAACAAGAAGAAUGCUGCAAAGAAGAAGCUUCACCAUCGCACGGGGUCAGGUGGCUACCUCAAAGCCCGACCUAAGUGGGCCAAGGCUGAGAAUGAUCUGCUUGAAAAAGGGAUCGAACCACAGACAAUGAACUGGACAGACCGUUGCCGGACUUGGUUCUUCGGGGCUAGCGGAACCUUGGACCCUGUAUCAGGGAGGUGCGUUUGGAUGAACGAGCUUUUGAGAAUACCAGUCAAGAAGAUUCAGCAAUAUAUCGAUGCAGCACAGGAAGGGACGUUCGUUCCAGACAGAGAGAACGACGAGCUCACAAUGGCCCUCGGGAAUCCUGAGCACCCUGGACGGACACGAGGCACGCCAGGCUCCGUUCCGUGA